CCUACGGGAGGCAGCAGUGGGGAAUAUUGCACAAUGGGGGAAACCCUGAUGCAGCGACGCCGCGUGAGUGAAGAAGUAUUUCGGUAUGUAAAGCCCUAUCAGCAGGGAAGAGAAUGACGGUACCUGAGUAAGAAGCCCCGGCUAACUACGUGCCAGCAGCCGCGGUAAUACGUAGGGGGCAAGCGUUAUCCGGAUUUACUGGGUGUAAAGGGAGCGUAGACGGCGAAGAAAGUCUGAAGUGAAAGCCCGCGGCUCAACCGCGGAACUGCUUUGGAAACUUUUUUGCUGGAGUACCGGAGAGGUAAGCGGAAUUCCUAGUGUAGCGGUGAAAUGCGUAGAUAUUAGGAGGAACACCAGUGGCGAAGGCGGCUUACUGGACGGUAACUGACGUGGAGGCUCGAGAGCGUGGGGAGCAAACAGGAUUAGAUACCCCUGUAGUC
rnacentral:rRNA from 1 species